GCUGAGCGUGGUGGUGCACGCCUGUAGUCCCAGCUACUCGGGAGGCUGAGGCAGGAGAAUCACUUGAACCUGGGAGGCAGAGGUUGCAGUGAGCCAAGAUUGUGCCACUGCACUCCAUCCUGGGUGACAGAGUGAGACUCUGUCUCAA
rnacentral:SRP_RNA from 2 species